ensembl:lncRNA
UUUUUUUUUUUUUUUUUUUUAACACUGUCAUUAGAAUUAAGGUAGACAAAAAAAAAAAUUGAAUGGAAAAUUUCCACAAUCUGGGAGGAAGUUUUGUUUCUAAAGCGCAAGGCAAAACCCUUUUCAGUUUACAACAAAUUCUCACUUGUGAUAAGGGUAGCAAAUCUUUUAGUUCUUCCAGGCCUCUGCCUUACAGAAUAGCCUUAGUAACUAAUUCUCGUGCCAAAAAACCACUAUGAUUAUACCAGAAAAAGAACAGGAAGUUUUUGAUGCCACUGGUUUUCUCUUAAAGGUAGAAAGACAUAUGCUUCAUGCUCAUCUCUCUCUUCCACCACACUCUGUGCUUCCUCACAGACCAAUUCAAAUGUAAUUUGACACUGAACUCCAGACUCAGUUUUUCUCCCUGUACCAAUAACAGAAUUAGGUACCUAAAUCAAGUUAUUGUUACUGUGAGGCAGUUUUCUUUCUAAUUAAGCUUGUCAGGGACCUUUCUAUCUUUGAAGUCAGUAAUUAUCUUCCCAAAAAACCCAAGAGCUCUAAACUGCUCCUCAAAUGCUUUUUUUUUUUUUUCAGUCCCUUAGUAUUGUAAAGUCUCUCCUAUACUUACUUAUAAAUUUGCUUCUGGGACCUGGGAAGCUAGUGAGAGUUUGUAUAUGAAAGAUUUGUCUUCUGUCUCCAUCUACUGCUCCAGAUGAUGAACAUAAUGCCCUAUCUACUAGCCCUGUACAGAUGUGUCAUAUAUCUAUGUUAUACCAAAUGCAGUGAACUUUUUUAGUCCAUUGAAUCACAUUCAGUCUAUGGCAAAUACAUUUAUUUUAGAAGUUUGAUCUGCAAUUUUAAUUAAUUUUCUUCUGUUAUUAGGGGGAAAAUGAUGUCAGAGGUGCUGAUCCUUUUCCAUAUUAGGAAACCUGUUUGAAAAAUGUUCAAAAAAUGUUACUACUAAGGUUUCCUUGUAAUAAUUGACUCUCAGUUAUUUUCUCACAAAGACAAAAGGUAUACAGUUAUACUCUUUUCUACUAUGUCACUCCCCUAAACCCAAAAUAAGCCAGUAAAGUACAGGCAGAUUUAAAGGAAAAAGUAUGAUUCAAGGUUCUUAUUAUUGAUUUUGUAUAGAUGUUGUAUUUCAUCCUACAAACAACAUGCACACAGCUGUAUUACAGUCAGACUCAUUCUGCACGUAUUUUAUUUUAGGCAUAACUUUAGUUCAGAAAAGUUUAAUUAGUAAAUGCGUCUGUAAAUACACACAAUCCACAAGUCUUGAAAAUGACAAAAUAAUAAUAAUAAUAAAGUCACAAUAAAAUCUGUUGAAAUUGAAAAAGAAAUACAGGUUGAAUAUCUGCCACAGUUUUUAGUAUCCUUGGGAUUUAGCCACUAUACUGAGCUCCUAACUGAAAGAGGUCGCAUAGUGAUGAUGAAAUAUCUGUCCAAGCAGAAUGGAACAUCAUUUCAAAAAUGUGUAAAGGAGCUUUUUACAUUAUUAGAGCUCCUCAAGAUUUAUCAGGGCAUAAUUCAUUCAGAUGUAAUCUAUUAGACAGUGCUUCUGCAUCUUGACACACAGCAUGAAGAGUAUUUUAUCUCCACAGAAGGUAAAGAUUACUGCCACCAAAUGAAGGUGCAGUUUUGCUAUCAAUGCAACUCACUUUCACUGGCAACAUCCUGCCAUGCCUCUAGCUUGUUCUCAAACUCAUUCUCAUUUCACUCAGCAUUUCUGCCAAGCUUUUCCUCAGGGUUCCAAAACAGUUAGGAGCUAAACUUCUCUACAUUCUGCCCCAACUCAAGCCCUCAAUGUACAUACCUCAGAAUAGCACUUCCAAGAAAAGAUGCAACAUUGCUGGCAAAAGAGGCAUGCAGCACGUUCCUUAAAGUCUGUAUUUCAGUUAAGUCAAAUUUUCUUUGUACUUCAGGUUUAACUUUCUCCUU